AGUUCUGUGGUGGAAUGAUAAGCACUCUGGACUCUGAAUCCAGUGAUACAAGUUCCAAUCUCGGUGGAACCC
rnacentral:tRNA from 1 species